rnacentral:rRNA from 1 species
UCAUCUUCGGGGGUAGAGCACUGUUUCGGCUAGGGGGUCAUCCCGACUUACCAACCCGAUGCAAACUACGAAUACCGAAGAAUGUUAUCACGGGAGACACACGGCGGGUGCUAACGUCCGUCGUGAAGAGGGAAACAACCCAGACCGCCAGCUAAGGUCCCAAAGUCAUGGUUAAGUGGGAAACGAUGUGGGAAGGCACAGACAGCCAGGAUGUUGGCUUAGAAGCAGCCAUCAUUUAAAGAAAGCGUAAUAGCUCACUGGUCGAGUCGGCCUGCGCGGAAGAUGUAACGGGGCUAAACCAUGCACCGAAGCUGCGGCAGCGACACUAUGUGUUGUUGGGUAGGGGAGCGUUCUGUAAGCCUGCGAAGGUGACCUGUGAGGGUUGCUGGAGGUAUCAGAAGUGCGAAUGCUGACAUAAGUAACGAUAAAGCGGGUGAAAAGCCCGCUCGCCGGAAGACCAAGGGUUCCUGUCCAACGUUAAUCGGGGCAGGGUGAGUCGACCCCUAAGGCGAGGCCGAAAGGCGUAGUCGAUGGGAAACAGGUUAAUAUUCCUGUACUUGGUGUUACUGCGAAGGGGGGACGGAGAAGGCUAUGUUAGCCGGGCGACGGUUGUCCCGGUUUAAGCAUGUAGGCUGGUUGUCCAGGCAAAUCCGGAUAAUCAAGGCUGAGGUGUGAUGACGAGGCACUACGGUGCUGAAGUAACAAAUGCCCUGCUUCCAGGAAAAGCCUCUAAGCAUCAGGUAACAUCAAAUCGUACCCCAAACCGACACAGGUGGUCAGGUAGAGAAUACCAAGGCGCUUGAGAGAACUCGGGUGAAGGAACUAGGCAAAAUGGUGCCGUAACUUCGGGAGAAGGCACGCUGGUGUGUAGGUGAAGCCCCUGCGGGUGGAGCUGAGACCAGUCGAAGAUACCAGCUGGCUGCAACUGUUUAUUAAAAACACAGCACUGUGCAAACACGAAAGUGGACGUAUACGGUGUGACGCCUGCCCGGUGCCGGAAGGUUAAUUGAUGGGGUUAUCCGUAAGGAGAAGCUCUUGAUCGAAGCCCCGGUAAACGGCGGCCGUAACUAUAACGGUCCUAAGGUAGCGAAAUUCCUUGUCGGGUAAGUUCCGACCUGCACGAAUGGCGUAAUGAUGGCCAGGCUGUCUCCACCCGAGACUCAGUGAAAUUGAACUCGCUGUGAAGAUGCAGUGUACCCGCGGCAAGACGGAAAGACCCCGUGAACCUUUACUAUAGCUUGACACUGAACAUUGAGCCUUGAUGUGUAGGAUAGGUGGGAGGCUUUGAAGCGUGGACGCCAGUCUGCGUGGAGCCAACCUUGAAAUACCACCCUUUAAUGUUUGAUGUUCUAACGUUGGCCCCUGACCGGGGUUGCGGACAGUGUCUGGUGGGUAGUUUGACUGGGGCGGUCUCCUCCCAAAGCGUAACGGAGGAGCACGAAGGUUAGCUAAUCCUGGUCGGACAUCAGGAGGUUAGUGCAAUGGCAUAAGCUAGCUUGACUGCGAGCGUGACGGCGCGAGCAGGUGCGAAAGCAGGUCAUAGUGAUCCGGUGGUUCUGAAUGGAAGGGCCAUCGCUCAACGGAUAAAAGGUACUCCGGGGAUAACAGGCUGAUACCGCCCAAGAGUUCAUAUCGACGGCGGUGUUUGGCACCUCGAUGUCGGCUCAUCACAUCCUGGGGCUGAAGUAGGUCCCAAGGGUAUGGCUGUUCGCCAUUUAAAGUGGUACGCGAGCUGGGUUUAGAACGUCGUGAGACAGUUCGGUCCCUAUCUGCCGUGGGCGCUGGAGAAUUGAGGGGGGCUGCUCCUAGUACGAGAGGACCGGAGUGGACGCAUCACUGGUGUUCGGGUUGUCAUGCCAAUGGCACUGCCCGGUAGCUAAAUGCGGAAGAGAUAAGUGCUGAAAGCAUCUAAGCACGAAACUUGCCCCGAGAUGAGUUCUCCCUGAGACUUUAAGUCUCCUGAAGGAACGUUGAAGACGACGACGUUGAUAGGCCGGGUGUGUAAGCGCAGCGAUGCGUUGAGCUAACCGGUACUAAUGAACCGUGAGGCUUAACCUU